UACGUAGGGUGCGAGCGUUAAUCGGAAUUACUGGGCGUAAAGCGUGCGCAGGCGGUUCGUUAUGUCCGUUGUGAAAGCCCCGGGCUCAACCUGGGAAUGGCGAUGGAUACUGGCGAGCUAGAGUACGGUAGAGGAGAGUGGAAUUCCCGGUGUAGCAGUGAAAUGCGUAGAGAUCGGGAGGAACAGCAGUUGCGAAGGCGGCUCUCUGGACCAGUACUGACGCUGAGGCACGAAAGCGUGGGGAGCAAACAGG
rnacentral:rRNA from 1 species